GACGAACGCUGGCGGCGUGCUUAACACAUGCCAGUCGAACGGAAAGGCCCUGCUUUUGUGGGGUGCUCGAGUGGCGAACGGGUGAGUAACACGUGAGUAACCUGCCCUUUACUUUGGGAUAACUUCAGUAAACUGGUGCUAAUACCGGAUAGGAGCUCCUGCUGCAUGGUGGGGGUUGGAAAGUUUCGGCGGUUGGGGAUGGACUCGCGGCUUAUCAUCUUGUUGGUGGGGUAGUGGCUUACCAAGGCUUUGACGGGUAGCCGGCCUGAGAGGGUGACAGGAAACAUUGGGACUGAGAUACGGCCCAGACUCAUACGGGAGGCAGCAGUGGGGAAUAGUGCACAAUGGGCGGAAGCCUGAUGCAGCAACGCCGCGUGCGGGAUGACGGCCUUCGGGUUGUAAACCGCUUUCGCCUGUGACGAAGCGUGAGUGACGGUAAUGGGUAAAGAAGCACCGGCUAACUACGUG
rnacentral:rRNA from 1 species